UAAAUGCAAAUUAAUUCAAAAAUUAAAAAAAAAGAAAUAUUCGAAUCCCCUUCCUCAACCCACGUUGAAAAAAACGCUACCUCUCUCUCCAAAUCUCUCCCAUAUCUGUAACCCCAUCCCUUCUAUAAUAUUCACGACAGGAUCAUCCUCCUUCCUAUUCAUUCUCUGCAAUCAAGAAACCAAGACCCAUUCUCCUCAACGUCAAUUCAAGUAACCAAAUCCUCCAGCUUCAAGAACCAUUUUUUUUCUCCUCAACCUCCGUCUGCAAUUGAAGGAGCAGCAAAAUAGGCAGGUUACGUUUGAAAUAUAGGCUAGUGAGUAGGCUUUUAAAAGUGGCAAUGAAGGCUGGAGACGAUUUGAUGAAGCAGCCAUCCAGUCCUGAUAGCGAUCUGGUUGCCGGAGUCGCUCCCUCGGCCUCAACUUCCUAACUGCUAUGCUCUCCUCCUCCGUUGGCGACGACUCUUCCUCGCCUCUACUCCCCGUCACCGUCUCUGCCACUGUCGAUGGUGUUGGGGUCGUGUCUGCAGGCGAUGAUGUUGGGGUCGUAACAUACGAUCGCCGAGUCAAAUGCGCCCGAUGCAUCGUCCUCCUGCAAUGGUCGGACGAUCUCGCCCGAUGACGAUUUUUGCGGAUCGUCCGCCCGAUCCCCUCACCAUUAUGGAUGCUCUUAAUAGUGGGUGGAUGAAAAAGGAAAAUAAGACAUUUAAUAGUGGACGAAGGGAGUAUACUAUUUUCUUGUUUCAUUAAACGAGCUAGCUGUCACCGUGGCCGUGGAGAACUAGCUUCCUGCUUGAUUCUAGAUUUUCAUUGUCUUUUCUUGUUUGAAUUUUCGACCUGUUUAUUAGUAUAAUAUUAUUACUAGUAUUUAGUUUU